rnacentral:rRNA from 9 species
AAUUGAAGAGUUUGAUCAUGGCUCAGAUUGAACGCUGGCGGCAGGCCUAACACAUGCAAGUCGAGCGGUAGCACAGAGAGCUUGCUCUCGGGUGACGAGCGGCGGACGGGUGAGUAAUGUCUGGGAAACUGCCUGAUGGAGGGGGAUAACUACUGGAAACGGUAGCUAAUACCGCAUAACGUCGCAAGACCAAAGUGGGGGACCUUCGGGCCUCAUGCCAUCAGAUGUGCCCAGAUGGGAUUAGCUAGUAGGUGGGGUAACGGCUCACCUAGGCGACGAUCCCUAGCUGGUCUGAGAGGAUGACCAGCCACACUGGAACUGAGACACGGUCCAGACUCCUACGGGAGGCAGCAGUGGGGAAUAUUGCACAAUGGGCGCAAGCCUGAUGCAGCCAUGCCGCGUGUGUGAAGAAGGCCUUCGGGUUGUAAAGCACUUUCAGCGGGGAGGAAGGCGGUGAGGUUAAUAACCUCAUCGAUUGACGUUACCCGCAGAAGAAGCACCGGCUAACUCCGUGCCAGCAGCCGCGGUAAUACGGAGGGUGCAAGCGUUAAUCGGAAUUACUGGGCGUAAAGCGCACGCAGGCGGUCUGUCAAGUCGGAUGUGAAAUCCCCGGGCUUAACCUGGGAACUGCAUUCGAAACUGGCAGGCUAGAGUCUUGUAGAGGGGGGUAGAAUUCCAGGUGUAGCGGUGAAAUGCGUAGAGAUCUGGAGGAAUACCGGUGGCGAAGGCGGCCCCCUGGACAAAGACUGACGCUCAGGUGCGAAAGCGUGGGGAGCAAACAGGAUUAGAUACCCUGGUAGUCCACGCCGUAAACGAUGUCGAUUUGGAGGUUGUGCCCUUGAGGCGUGGCUUCCGGAGCUAACGCGUUAAAUCGACCGCCUGGGGAGUACGGCCGCAAGGUUAAAACUCAAAUGAAUUGACGGGGGCCCGCACAAGCGGUGGAGCAUGUGGUUUAAUUCGAUGCAACGCGAAGAACCUUACCUGGUCUUGACAUCCACAGAACUUUCCAGAGAUGGAUUGGUGCCUUCGGGAACUGUGAGACAGGUGCUGCAUGGCUGUCGUCAGCUCGUGUUGUGAAAUGUUGGGUUAAGUCCCGCAACGAGCGCAACCCUUAUCCUUUGUUGCCAGCGGUCCGGCCGGGAACUCAAAGGAGACUGCCAGUGAUAAACUGGAGGAAGGUGGGGAUGACGUCAAGUCAUCAUGGCCCUUACGACCAGGGCUACACACGUGCUACAAUGGCAUAUACAAAGAGAAGCGACCUCGCGAGAGCAAGCGGACCUCAUAAAGUAUGUCGUAGUCCGGAUUGGAGUCUGCAACUCGACUCCAUGAAGUCGGAAUCGCUAGUAAUCGUAGAUCAGAAUGCUACGGUGAAUACGUUCCCGGGCCUUGUACACACCGCCCGUCACACCAUGGGAGUGGGUUGCAAAAGAAGUAGGUAGCUUAACCUUCGGGAGGGCGCUUACCACUUUGUGAUUCAUGACUGGGGUGAAGUCGUAACAAGGUAACCGUAGGGGAACCUGCGGUUGGAUCACCUCCUUA